rnacentral:rRNA from 1 species
GACGGAGGAUGCAAGUGUUAUCCGGAAUCACUGGGCGUAAAGCGUCUGUAGGUUGUUUAAAAAGUCUGCAGUUAAAGGUUGAAGCUUAACUUCAAAAAUGCCGUAGAAACUUUUAAACUUGAGUAUGGUAGGGGUAGAGGGAAUUUCCAGUGGAGCGGUGAAAUGCGUAGAUAUUGGAAAGACCACCAAUGGCGAAGGCACUCUACUGGGCCAUUACUGACACUGAGAGACGAAAGCUAGGGGAGCAAAUGGG